rnacentral:rRNA from 1 species
AUACGUAGGUGGCAAGCGUUGUCCGGAUUUAUUGGGCGUAAAGCGCGCGCAGGCGGUCUCUUAAGUCUGAUGUGAAAUCUUGCGGCUCAACCGCAAGCGGUCAUUGGAAACUGGGAGACUUGAGUACAGAAGAGGAGAGUGGAGUUCCACGUGUAGCGGUGAAAUGCGUAGAGAUGUGGAGGAACACCAGUGGCGAAGGCGACUCUCUGGUCUGUAACUGACGCUGAGGCGCGAAGCGUGGGGAGCAAACAGGAUUAGAUACCCUGGUAGUCCACGCCGUAAACGAUGAGUGCUAGGUGUUAGGGGUUUCGAUGCCCUUAGUGCCGAAGUAAACACAUUAAGCACUCCGCCUGGGGAGUACGGCCGCAAGGCUGAA